UAGAAAGUUUUCCAAGUAAUCUUUUGUUCGUUUCAUUUGUUGCAGCCUGGCAAAAUUGAUUUGUCAAGCAGCCACAUUAAAAAUUGACAACUAGACAAAUUCCAGAAAGGAGCCGGUCUCCAAAUACGUGUAGAUUUUUCCAAGAUAGAUGUCAGGGAUGUCGGUUCGGACAGCCAGGCACCUACCUCUCCCCCAACCCGAUGGCAAGACCAACUGCUCGAUUUUUGUCCAGGCACGUUUCGGUCCCUGUCCAUUGUUUGUCAUUCGAGUUUCGCAGUUUGACAUAUUUCGAGAGUCCACUCUCGUUUUCGGGACACUCAAAGUUUUUUGUAAACAUUUUUCGUUGGCACGACAUUAUUAGUUAUGCAAAUUAAUGUGCAUGCAUGCGUAAAUGUGAAUAUUUAAUUUCGAGUCUACGAAGAACAUGUGACAAAAGACCAGGAUACAGGAUACAGGAAUCAGGAUUUGUUUUCUUUAUGACCCAAACCGUAACCAGACCGGCAUAUAUAUGAGCCAAGUUGGCAAUGGCACUUCUGAUGCCUGGGAUUUGAAAUUGGCAAACUUUUGUGGCUCCAGGAAACGUGUCCCAAAAUCCUGGAAAACUUCUAGCCAAAACUUUCAACUCGAAUAUCUUAAAUUUAUGCAUUGCAGUCGUCAAUUUUUAAUCGGCCUAUUAAGACCACUAAGCGGUAAAUCACUUUCAGCCUAAUGACCAACAAAACUCUCCAUGAAUCACCUGAGUCCUGGACUCACUGCGAUAGUUUACUUAUGCAUGACUCUGAUUUCCUUUCUCGGGGCUGUAAACAACACAAAAUAUAUUUAAGUACUUAAUAUGUAUGUGUAAUAAUGAAUACAGAUCGAGUUGCCUUGAA